UACAGAGGUCCCAAGCGUUGUUCGGAUUCACUGGGCGUAAAGGGUGCGUAGGCGGUCGGGUAAGUCUGAUGUGAAAUCUCACAGCUUAACUGUGAAACUGCAUUGGAUACUAUCCGGCUCGAGGAAUGGAGGGGAGACUGGAAUUCCUGGUGUAGCGGUGAAAUGCGCAGAUAUCAGGAGGAACACCGGUGGCGAAGGCGGGUCUCUGGGCAGUAACUGACGCUGAGGAGCGAAAGCGUGGGGAGCGAACAGG
rnacentral:rRNA from 1 species